rnacentral:rRNA from 1 species
UACGUAGGGAGCUAGCGUUGUCCGGAAUCAUUGGGCGUAAAGCGCGCGUAGGCGGCCCGGUAAGUCCGCUGUGAAAGUCAAAGGCUCAACCUUUGAAUGUCAGCGGAUACUGCCGGGCUAGAGUCCGGAAGAGGCGAGUGGAACUCCUGGUGUAGCGGUGGAAUGCGCAGAUAUCAGGAAGAACACCAACAGCGAAGGCAGCUCGCUGGGACGGAACUGACGCUAAGGCGCGAAAGCGUGGGGAGCGAACAGG